GACGAGGGGUCCUAGCGUUGUUCGGAAUCACUGGGCGUAAAGCGUAUGUAGGCGGCUUUUCAAGUCAGGUGUGAAAUCCCAUGGCUUAACCAUGGAACUGCAUUUGAAACUGUAAAGCUUGAGUAUUGGAGAGGAUGGUAGAAUUCCAGGUGUAGCGGUGAAAUGCGUAGAUAUCUGGAGGAACACCGGUGGCGAAGGCGGCAUCCUGGACCAACACUGACACUGAGGAGCGAAAGCCAGGGGAGCAAACGGG
rnacentral:rRNA from 1 species